GCCAUCAUACAGAUUCACUUUGAUUCUGUUAGCCUAACUAAAAUCUGUGAUACGAGCACGGAGUGAGUCUGUGCUGAGAUCACGGAUAACUCUAACGCAAGUCAAUGACACUCUUCUUCCGUGGUCCACACACGGAAACCCAGUCUCACGGCAGUUCGUGAUUUUGUCACGUAAUUUAAUCUAUUUAUUCGUGGCAGGCACACGUUUAUUUCCUUAUUUUCAUGAUUGCAGCACAUUUUUUUAAACUAAUGCAUUUCAACUGGAGGCAUCUUUCGUGCAUCAGCACAAUAUUUUCUGAUUAAUUAUUAUUAUUAUUAUUUAAUUUUCCACAGGACAACAGAAGAAACUCACUGAAACUUGAAAAAAAAAUCGGAGCUUAACUUACUGUACAAAACUGAGCAACAUACUGUAUUGCUGGUGACAAAAACACAUUAAAACUUUUUUAGCUGUAAAAUGCGCAAUGGUUCUUUUUUUAAUUUUUCAUUGAUUUUUCUUUUUUUCAUAGGCCUAGAUUAUUUUUUUUUUUAUUACAGAAUUCAAUAUCAAGUCCUUGACACAUAACUGUAACACAUUUUUACAUUAAGAAACAAUUUAGUUUAAAUAAAAAGAACAAAAAAAAAAAUAAAUAAAUAAAUAAAUAAAUUAUUUAUUAGCGAUAGGCCUACAGAUUUAUUAAGAGUUUUUAUUAAGGCUAUUGUAAAGGAUUCUUAAAAAUGAUGUCGCUGAUGAGCCUCUGAUCGCUGUCAGAUUCUGUGAUAUGAAUGUCCGCUAAGGGGUUUAGAAUGAGCCCCGCUCGGCCCGUGUUCUGGCUUACUGUAAUAUUUCACCUGUAAUAAGACCGAAAUAAUAUAAUUAAAAUAAAGAAAUUAAUGAAUACAUGAUAACAUCUAAAUAAAUGUUGAUAGAUUUAGCGUUAUAGUUUUAAAAAUAUUAAUAAACAGCAAAUCAACACAGCUUCGAAAUAAUAACCGAGAAAGACCUAAAUAAUAAUAAUACAUAAUUAAUAAACAGCGCCGCCCCUCCCACUACGCGCAUCACGCGCUGUGCGUCAACCCCAAAGCGUCAAAAACUGAAGCGUGGUCAAGCGCCUCUAGCGUCACUGACAUGAGAUGUUUAUCGCUUUGAAAUCACGUUCAAGAAGUCUCAUUCAGCACACAUCGCGAUACUUUCCAUCAGUUUGCAAGAGCCGCAGGUUGGGUGAGUUAUACAGUCUAUGGUGAGUAGUAGUAAAUAUGCUAUUUUAAUGCCUGUCCUAAAACGUAUUCUGUCUUCUUUAUUAAUCAGAUGAGCGCCUUAUGUUAACUCUCUGUAUUACAUCGGUCAUCCGAGGCUGUCUUUGAGUUUCAUUGUGUUUAACUAAAUGAGCACAGCUGCUAACUGGUUAAACUCUAUCGGUCACGUCACGUGACGUGACGUGCCACAGACCUGGGAUCCGUUUUAUAUUCAUUUCAGGUUCAAAGAUGUAAGUUGUAUUUGUAGUAAAAUCAUGGUAACCAUGACACCUACAAAAGUAGGUAAAACCCAGUAAACAAGACAUUUACCAUGUUUUUUUUUUGUUUUUUUUUACCACAGUAACUGUAGCUUUACUGUAGUAUAGUAAUAGCACAUUAAUCACCAAAUUAACUAUAGUUGUACCACUGUAAUGGUAGUGUUUUAAUGUGCUUUUAUAUGACUUAUUUCACAGUAAUCACAUUUACUGUACCAUGCUUGUAAUACCUUUUUAAUGUAAAAAAAAAAAAAAAAACAUUUUUCCCAUCUUGCAGUUCAAUUCAUAUUUGUUUAUAUCUUAAAUAUUUUGCUCACAGAUCACUAUUAACAUUCUGUAUAUAAUUCUGUUUUAUUUUCUUUCCCCUUGUAUUAAUUUUUUAGCUGAAAAGACGUAAAGUAAGCAGUCACCCCAGUGGUGUUUGUGGAGAGGUAUUCCUUCAGAAAUGGAGAAGACAGAAAGCUGCAGAGGCAGAAGUUUUUGGGGAGCCAACCCUCACAAACCUUCCUAAAAACUAAAAGAGCUAUUACUGAGUCUCAGCGACUCUUGCCACGAUCAGCUCUUCCCAGAAGAGAAGGAAGACCAAGGAAAUGAUUGGCUCAGGAUGAGAAAUGAAGAUGGUCAUCUUGUGCUCAAACAAACAGAAGUCCUCUGAUGAUCUCAUCAACCAAAUGAGGGGUUUUGACCAAGUGAUGCUCUUGAAAGGAGUGAAAGAAGAGGAUGUGGUAAAUUGUCUUCAGAGAAAAAGCUUCUCAAAAGAUCUUAAAACAGCUUGAAGAAUGGUCUGGGAUCUUAGGACUGAGAGAUCUCACUUGCACCCAGUUAACCUCCAUAGAGAACAUUUAUCAGAAGCGCUGUCUGGGCAGGGCAAGAAACAUCAUCAAGGAUGCCUCUCACCCUAACCAUGGACUUUUCACCCUCCUUCCAC